GGCUUCAGCCCCUCAUAGCAAAAACAAUGAGCAGGGUUGGCAGCCGUGUGGUGUCAAACUUAACUGCAGUGUCAAACUUAACUGCUGACAGAAAAUGACAGACAUGUUCUCUUGUUAAACGAGCCACACCUUGUUGUAACUUCCAUGUACAUUGUAUAGAAAGAAAGGCCUUUAUUCCCAUGCUUCGUUCUUUGUUUUUGUUACCAUUACAUUGCUUUUAUAAACCAAAGUGGUAGAACCGCCCGUCGAACUAGGUGGGGCAUGGGGGUUCCUGAUGUACUCAUUUCUGAAGAACUGUAAAUACUUGUGGAUCAAUGCAAUGAAGUGAUGUUCCAAUGCUUUAUUUGUGAGAAGUCUGGCUGUACAAGUUGAGGUUGGAUCCAUUAAUACUGCUAGUGUCAACCAAUGUCAAAUUGGCAGUGCAUUUUUUCUCUCUUUCCAUCCAGUAAAUAUAAUUAACCUGUAGUCUCCCUUCAAUUUUUUUUUAAAAGCCAUUAAUCUUGCCCCCAGGAAAAAUAUGAUUUGGUGACGUAGCAUUCAAUGGUUUUGAUAACAAACGGCUCGACACUACACCUGUCAGAGACAGAAAAGAAGCUCCUACAGCGACAUCCAACGAAGAUCAGAGGAUGAGGAGCUCCUACAGCGACAUCCAACGAAGAUCAGAGGAUGAGGAUGCUCUACUGCUCUCCAUUAUUGGCGAUGGAUUAAUUGAAUAUUGUAAGGGGAUUUAAAUUUGGCUUACACGCAUUUAUAAUCUACAGUAAACAUUAUUAUACUCUAAACUAAAAUCUGUGGAACUCUCUCAAUGGGUGAAGAAUUGAAAUUAAAAUCCUGGCUCCGAUCCACGCUGUUAUAGCCAAAAGUUCACGAUCCUAAUACCCAGGUUCGCUGAUUUGUUAUGAGAGAAAAAUACUGUUUAAUGGCUGGCAAAUUCAGUAGAUAAGCUCAAACGAACAAGCUCUAAAGCCUUGUCUAGUUCUAAAAUUUUUGGCAAAAUGUGAAUAGUACCAAUUUCGUUUGUAUUUGACAAAUAUUGUCCAAUCAUAAACUAACUAGGCUCAAAAGAUUCAUCUCGUCAAUUCCGACCAAACUGUGUAAUUAGUUUUUAUUUUCGUCUAUAUUUAAUACUUCAUGCAUACCUCUAAAGAUUCGAUGUGACGGAGAAUCUGAAAAAUUUUGCAAAAUUAUUUGGGAACUAAACAAGGCCUAAGUAGUACUGCUAACCAACCACAUGACAUUGAGGCAGCAAAGUCCACGAUCCUAAUCUCUACUGCAUCUUCUGUCAAUUGAUAAACCUGGGUCUGUCUUUCCACAUACAAAUACCACAUGUCGAUUAAUAUAAUUCCUUGUUUUUCUCGAUCGGGAGUAAGGGUUCCACUAGUUUAUUGGCAGCUUAUACAUACCAUCAUCAUCGGGCCGGGCGGCAUUGCAGUUCUUGUGCUUUGUAAGCCAGCACAGUCAGCACGACGUGGACCGUCUGAUUAUUAACCUAUUGCGUUCCAAAGCCGCCGGACCGGACGGCGGCAACAAGAUAAAAAGUAGAGUAGCAAUGGACCAGUAACCAGUGGUAGCGGCGUUUGGAUCUCUCCUUUAUAUACAAAAUGCAACGUCUGCCAUCGUCCAAUUCCCAUCACUCCAACCACUCCGCGGAAUCGUGCCUAGCCAGUCUUCUUCCUCCACGGUCCACGGACUCCGGCCGCGCGCGGCCUCGCUCGUCGUCGUCGUCGCCGGCCGGCUCCAGCCUCUCGUCUCAGCCUGCCGGCCAGCCAUGUCGGCGGCGUUCAAGGCGUUCCUGAACAGCCCAGUGGGCCCCAAGACGACCCACUUCUGGGGACCCGUCUCCAACUGGGGCAUCAUCCUCGCGGUACGUCCUGCUCAUGCUCUUUGGUCUUCAUCGCUGAGACUGAUGAGAGAAUUCCCAGCUCCAGAUCGUGAAUCGUCUCUCUCUCUCUCUCUCUCUCUCUCUCUCUCCAGGCAUGAGCUGAGCUGUUGAACACCAGUAAUAUCUAACGAAGGAUAGUUUGACUUGAGUGAGAGUGUGAGUCACUUUUCGCUCGCAGGUCAUUUUGUGUCAGUCUGUCUGAAUCACACUUGCUUGGUGUGUUUUGAAUCACACAGUUUAAGGUUUGAAACUGGAUGCUCUGCAUGCCCCUGUAGUAGGCCUGUAUACGAAUCAUAUCGAAUCUUGCAUUUCAGUAUAUCCGCCGUCCAUUUCCAUUUCACUGAACUGAAUGAACGCUCAGUACUUAUUUGAUCACUACAGAGUACAGACAGACCAUAGCUCCACAAACUCCGCUAUUUAUACCCAUGCCGAUAAACGAUAUGGGUAUAUGAUAUGAUCAAUCUAUAUCCAGUAUCCGAAAAGACACUCGGGUAUCUGUGCCACCUUAAUUUGUAGUGGUUGGAAAAAAGGACAGGCUGCAAUGAUUUGGAGGUCUAUUAUUUUGGUUGCAACUUUCAUCGCAUCAUUUUGGUUUAUUUUUUGCUUUUUCGAUUGAGACGUACGUGCAAAUAUCCAUUCCCUGAUAAGAAAGUAAUAUGUGCAAAUAAUAAUUUGUUUGCGAGGGAUUAAGUAAAUACUGUAUAUGUGCAAAUAAUAUGUGAUUUUCUAUUAUAUUUUUCCAUGAGAGCGAUUCAGCUAUAGCCAAUCGAUCUUAAUGAAAAUCCCUGUAGUGAUCAAAUAAGAUACCGAUAUUUGCUAUAACCCGCAAUUUUAAACCUUACUUGUCGAAUAGGAGUAUGGAUACAAAUAUUAAUCAGAUGUAUCAUGAUAGUCGAUUGGAUAUAUAUCAUCAUACUUGGAUAGUUGUUUGUUUUCUAAUUAAGUAAGGUCUAUGUGAGUUUUCAACCCAGUUUGAUUCAGAGGUAUAACUUUUUUUCUUAAAAAAGUAUUUUUCUAUUUAUAAUAUAUUUACAAUCUUAUAUGUAUUAUGGACUAAAUUUAAAUUUAUUACAUAUUCCAAUAUAUUAGUAAAAAAAUAUUGAAAAUUCAUAAUUAUAACAUCAUAAAUAUUCUAGUAAAUUUGAAAAAAAAUGAAGUUUAAACUUUACAUUAAAUAUCUAUAAAUACAAAAAUAACUAUAUAAAUAUAAAUACUCGUAUUACUUAAUAUUAUUUGGAUUUAAGAAAAUGAAAUGAUUUUACUAACUUUUCACUAAAAUUUCCAAAUAUGAAAUAAUUUUUAAAACACAAUAUCUGAUUCACAUUUUUUUUUGUUCUACUUGUUUUCAUUCACUCUUACUUGCCGGUACAUUACAACUAAAAACUCCGAGGAUUUAUAUUUUGCAGAGUGUGGCUGAUACACAAAAGCCCCCUGAAAUGAUAUCCGGCAAUAUGACAGGAGGUAUGUGAAAAUACUUGCAAAUUUGUAUGCGUCAUAGUUUUUUUUCAGCUUUGUAGCCAUCAUUGAUGUUUUAUGUUUUUUCCUCGUAGUUUUGUGUGUGUAUUCUGCACUCUUUGUCAGGUUCGCAUGGAUGGUACGACCUCAGAACUAUUUCCUUAUGGCAACCCACAGCUGCAACGAGGUUGUUCAGCUCUACCAGUUGUCUCGCUGGGCUAGGGCUCAAAAGUAAGGGUUCUCCACUAAAUCUAUUCUUACCACUUUGUUGCAAAAAGCUUAACGGACAUCAUUAGCCUUACCCUCACGUUCCGUGCUUGCAUUUCAAAACAUUGUUUACAUCCCCCACCCCCCACAACCACCCACACACCCACACUCCUCGUAAACAAACACAAAACAUUACAAAGUUUUGAGCCUAAAGAGAAAGUAAUGGAUGAAGCUACCGUGUGGUCACGAGAGCACUCGACCCAUACCACCACCACCCAUAGACAUUAGAGACGCCUUGUCUUAUUGCACUGCCCAUCGACCCCACCCUUCACUAGUCCUUUGCCUCUGCUAACCAAUUGCUAACGAGGCUUUCCUACCCCUACUCCACCCUACCGUCGCUUCAACCCACCACCAGCGCUGACUCGCCGCCCCCACCCACUUACCAUCACCUGUCGUCAUGCCAACCUGUAGCUGAAGUUCUAGGGUCCAGAGAGGAAGUAAACUCUAACUUUAGCGAUGGUGUAGCGACAAACGACCAAUAGUGCCGGUCACAAAUUCGCAUGAGCGAACUUGCAUUAGAGUUUUAAAAAGUAAUGUAUUAAUGCUAGAGAUUGAAUUGUGCAGGUUUAUGGAGAAGAAAGAGUUAGGAGGUCCAACCAUAAAGACUGACCCUAAACCAUAGUCACUUUGAACAACGAUGAAACUACGAACUCAUGCUUCGACCAUACAAUUUAUGUAUUACCACAAGGCUAUUAUGAUGUGAGAAACUCUGUUAUACGUGCUGUAGGUUUAUUUAUAAAUAUUGACUUUGCAUCGAGCAAAUGGUGAGCCGGCUGAGGCCCAGGGUCCGCCCCUGGUCUGAUCAUGUUCAAAGUCACGUGCCCAAUGCAUUAUUAGAUUUAUUUAGAGUCCUCUUUCACCCGGUACUCCCUCCGUCCUUAAAAGCUGCAACUUCUAGAGUUGUCCUAAGUCAAAAUUUUAAAACUUUGACCAAAUUUAUAGAAAAAAAUACUAAACUUUAUAGUACCAAAUUAAUACCAUUAGAUUUAUCAUUGAAUAUAUUUUCAUAAGAUACUCAUUUUAUGUUAUACAUAUUGAUGCUCUUUUCUAUAAAAUUGGUCAAAGUUAAACAAGUUUGACUGACACGGAUUAUAGGAAUUGAAGCUUUCAAUGUUUGCUUAUUUACUUUCUCCAUUAGAAAUUGUAGAUUGACUACGUACUGUGUAUCUGUUGAACUUGCUAAUUUAGCAACGUUCAUAGAAAAUCAUAUUACCAUCUACGGAGUAUAAUAUAAAAAGGGGCUAAUGAAGAGUAAUAAAUGUAGUUUGAUGUUGUAGAUGCUUCUGUAUUUUCUUUAUAUAUUUAUUCAAAAUUAGAGAACUUUAACUUAUGACAAAGCUAUAACAAUUUAUGAUUUUGGAACGGAUAGGAUAUACAGUAGAAGAGAAGAAUUAUGGAACAAUUUGGGGCAGAAAAAAUCUUCAAAUUUAUUGGAUGCCAUGCGACGAUACCGCCGGGUGCACUUGAACUAUUUAAUUUUUAUUAAUCCCCAUUCUCCAACUGCAACUGGACAAGUACUGGUCCUCUUCCCUUCCCCUUCUUCAUCAAUUCCUCUGUUUCCCCCGUUCUCCACCUACCUCCUCGCCCUCGUCGACUUGUCUCUUCCGCCGCCGCCGUCGACGAGAGCUGCGCUAGGUACCCCUCCUCCCCUCCCUCCAUGGGCUGGUGGAUCUUUCUCGCAGAACGCUACCGCUGGUCAUACGUCCUGUCGAGAUCGCCGACCCCCGAUUUCCCUGCUAUCGUUACUGAAUUCGAUGCGUGACAUGGAUAGGUGAUUUCCGCUGCUUCCCUUCUCCCAUGGCGACGGCGCUCAAAUCGUUCCUGAACAGCCCCGUCGGCCCCAAGACCACCCACUUCUGGGGCCCUGUCGCCAACUGGGGCUUCGUCAUCGCGGUACGCCUCUGCAGUUCAUGCUUGGUUUCUUCGGCAAAUCUAUGCGAUUCGUGGAUUGUAACGACGCGCCGAACGUAAUUUCGCAAUAGUAUUGAUGCUAGCGUUGUCGGAGUUCAAAAAUGGCUUUAAUCUGUUUAUAGGGCUAUUCGAGUCGGGGCACCUUUUCUGUAUGAGAAACAUCAAACAUCCGUAGGAUUUUAUUCUGGUAGCUAAGAUGCUAAAGCAGAAGGUUCUUGCUUUUGGUCUAGUUAACUAGUCACAGACAACAUACUAUUUAGAAGCAAGGACAAACGAUUGCUGCUUUGUUGUAUCAGUUGAAUCUGCAACAAAGUUCUUCCUCAUUUUCUCUUCUAUGUGAUUCGGUGUCUGAUGGGAAACAAAGUGCUAAGUGUUAGUAUCACAGUUAAGGCUUAAGGGGAGUCUCCAUAAUUCCAGGAGUUUCAUGGCCUUGAAAGCUUGACUCUGUAUUUCUCUUCUAUGUGAUUCAGGCUUGAUUGGACUAACAACUUAAUUCAAUAUGUACACUGUUACAGACUUAGAGUCUUAGAUAUCUUGUUUUAGGCAUAUUCAAGGUGCCUGCAAAUUGUAUUCAGCUGAAGGGUCCUAAUAUUGGCAUUGAAGUUAUUGGGCACCCAGUUGCAUGGUGUAAUCUGUUCUAGCUAUUAAUAUUUUAAAGGGCGAUUUUCCUUUUGUAAAUUAAUACUUUGAUAAUGUUCGACUGUACCUUGGGUUGCUGUAAAUUGUUUCUGGUGGUGGGGGGUAAGCUGCCAUAAAACUGCAGUGAUAGUUAUCAUUCUGAGUUACUCCAUAUUCAGCAACUAUCUACAUCAGAUUGUUUUCUCGCUGGUGCUAAGUAACAAAUGUUUGACCUGAUCAUUUUUCUUGUUCCAACUAAACCACCCUAAAUUUCAAUUGUUAAACUUUGACUCUGCAAGUUCACCCUUACCCGCAAAAGUUAUUAGAUUUCUAGGUAAAUCCCUCUGACGGACACAUUAACCAUAUAUUUAUGUAUAUAGUAUACAGUUAGACCCUCUAAGUUGUGUGUCCUUUCAUUGAACUCCUUUUUUUAACCCAACUAAACUAUAUCUCUUUUGAUUCUGUAUUUGGUUUGCAGGGUUUGGUUGACAUGAACAAGCCUCCCGAAAUGAUAUCCGGCAAUAUGACAGCAGGUAGGAAUUUACUAGGGAUCGUCUCACACUGCCAAUUUGAUGGGUCACGUCAAACUGUCAUUGAUGCUUAUGUUUUUAUGCAGCCAUGUGUGUAUAUUCUGGACUCUUUAUGAGGUUUGCAUGGAUGGUACAGCCCCGAAAUUAUUUGCUUCUGGCAUGCCAUGCUUCCAACGAAAGCGUUCAGCUCUAUCAGCUAUCUCGCUGGGCUAGGGCUCAGGGGUAAGGCUUGUGAAGUGAAUUUGUUCCUUCAGCAUAAUAGUUCAGUACCAAGUUUACUGUCCUAACUGUUUUCCCUUGACAGCUUUUUUGAGUUAUGGUUCCUGUCCUAUUUCUCUUUUUGAUAAUAUUGAAGCUAGCACAAAAAAGAGAGUUGAUGUCAGAGUUUGAUUUUCGCAGGUACCUGGAGAAGAAAGAGCCAGAGGCCCAACAGUAAAGAGGGCAUGCAACACUGCAAUCACUUGUUCAAUAAAGAAACUAUGCUGUGGAAAACAUUCAUUCUGUUGUCAAAGCUUAAGGAUUUGUUCGUGAAGUGGUGUCGACAGUGCCUUUAGUGAGCAUGCAGUUUUUGUAUGUUUGCAAAAUAUGCUGAGGAAAUUUUAUGAUUCCUAGUGCUGUUACAAUCUUCUGCGUACUUUUCUGUGCAUUUGCCAAGGCACAUUUGGUUUUACAUUGCGUUAUGCAAUGAAUUUCCCCAACUAUUCAGCAUAUUGCUGCCUUCUUACUAUUUGGCACUAUUUGUUUUACCUGGCUCAUGUGCCCAAAAUGCUUAGUAAAAGAUCAGUCGUUGCGAAAUUUUGCUCCGGUCCCUCGGCAAUGUCAUCCUGGAUAGGAAUAUAUAUAAGCAUUGAUUGAAAAAAAAAAUUCAUCUUAGGUCACAAUGCAACUUUUAGACCUGGAUAAAAUUACAAAUUUCAAGAUAGAAAUUGAUAAUAACAUUGUUUGGUUCACCACCAGCAGCAAUAGUGCUCAAUGAUUAUGAUUCCCUAUGUUCUAAACUAUAGAUCGUUUUGACUUUUCUUUAUACAUAGUUUUUGAUACUCGAUCCAUCCCAAAUUGUAAGUCGUUUGACUUUUUUAAUCCCAAGUUUGACCACUCGUCUUAUUUAAAGUUUUGUACAAAAUAUUACUUUUUUUAUUGUGUAUUAGUUUAUUAAUAAAAGUUCUUCAAAAAUGACUUAAAUUUGACUAUAUUUGUACAAAUUUUUUGAAUAAGACGAGUGGUCAAACUUGGGGUAAAAAAGUCAAAUGACUUACAAUUUGAGAUGGAGGGAGUAUAUAAUUAUGUUUAGAUGUAUAGUACAAACUAUGUUUUUUAGAAAAAAGCUAAAGCAACUUAUAGUUUGGAAUGAACGGGGCAUGUUUGCUUGGCUAAAAAGUUAUGUCUUAUUUUGAGAGAAAAAUAAUAUUGAAUGACUAGUAGAUUUGGUAGAUAACCUCAAGCGAACAGGCUCCCCAUGCUUGUACUCCCUGGUGCUUGCGCUAGAGGCUCACAAAUGCACUCUACCUAUGACAAUUGUUUCUGGGCAUUGUUCGAGUGGAUACAUUUUGCACCUAAUGGUCCCUAAAACAUUAGUGAUCUUACUAGCUGAUAGUUGUGCUGAUCAUCGUAAAUCUUUCAUAUAUUUCACCUUUGCGCACGAACAUUUAGAUUCGAAAACCCUAGGGUAGUUGCACUUUUUUCCUAUGAAGCUCAGAAAGGUCUAUCUAGAGUUGUCAGUGGAGCACCGAUCCCUAUUUCUCUAGGGAAAACUGUAACCUUUUCUCUCAUGGCUGAAGCACCGCGGGCAUGAGAAUUAUGAUCUGCAUCAUAUAUAUAGCUUCAUAAAACCUUGAGUUGCAUAUUUGCUGUCAGUAUAUAUUGAAGAGAAUUUACAGAUUGCAUAAUUUGUGAUAAAACCUACCGGUUCACAUCAUAGAUAAGGUAUCUUGUAGAGGAUGAUGUAGAUGAUGGUAGCUUCAUGUACAACAUGGUAAGAUAUGUAUGGGUAUAGAAGACUGCAAUCUUCGGCCUAUGGGCUUUGCAUCGGGUACCUAAGUAUGUUACGGAGCACCAAAUGGCUAUUCAACACUGUAGGACCAUCGAAUCUGCUGGUCAUAUACUCUCAGUAAAGUGUCAGGCUGUGGGCAUCUUCCUUAGCUGUUCGUUUGAGCUUACCUGAUCUGUCAGUUAUUCAACAAUGUUUUUUUCUUAUAAUAAAUCAAUGAAUAGUACUUCAACAGAUAAGCGGACAGUCUAAGUGUGCCAUUAAGCCGAUGUAAAAUGCCAGAAUUUAAAUAAUUUGAGGAGCAUGGGGUUGAGUCACUGAAUCUUAAACAAAGGUCUUGUGAAUGGGAGGCAGGACUAUAUCACAGGAGUGAUCCUUGGUCCGGCAAUCAUUAAUGGAGUCAUCUGUAUGGGUAAGUGUGAAGCCUGAAACGAAAUCUAAGGGUCUGUUUAUAUCUCAAAACUUUUGGCUGUAAAUUUUACAUUAAAACAGAUGUUUAGAUGUUUCCUAAACUUUUUGGUCUGCAACACACAAGACACGGAUCCCUAAACAAGUUUAUACAGUUUUGGGGCUCCAAGGUCCCAAAUUCCUGUUUAGAUUCAUUCUUCCAAAAAAUGUUCAUUUCUCCAAAAGUUUUGAUUGUUUGGCUGCAUCUAAACAGGAUCUAAAUAUUCAUGUAAAUGGACGCCCAAAUACUCACUCCUAGUUUAUUAUUGUCAUAAUAACUAUUAUUACGAAUAACCUUAGAGUUUUGAGCAGAGAAAGAGAAAGAGAAAGCUGAUGGAUUAUGAUGGUUAACUGAAGGACACGGAGCAAAGGAGAUUUGGUUGGAGGAUCAAAUUAUAUAAGAAAUGUGGAAGUGUACAUGAGAAAUGUAGUAAUAGAGACACGUAGUAUGCUACUGAAAAAUAAGCCGUGGCAAACUAAUGUAGCAGGUAAGUAAGUUGAGUCGGUACUGGUAUGUACUCAAUCCAUCCCAAAUUGUAAGUCGUUUGACUUUUUUAAUAUCAAGUUUGAUCACUCGUCUUAUUUAAAGUUUUGUAUAAAAUAUCACUUUUUUUAUGUGUAAUGGUUUAUUAAUAAAAGUUCUUCAAGAAUGACUUAAAUUUGACUAUAUUUGCAUAAUUUUUUUUGAAUAAGACGAGCGGUCAAACUUAAGGUAAAAAAGUCAAACGACUUAUAAUUUGGGAUGGAUGGAGUAUGAAUUAAGACAACCAAAUUUUCCGAGGAACCAAGAGUAUGUGCCGAGGGCAUUCAGUAGACAACCUAGAGGUGAAGGUACGGAGCAGCACCUUGAAACCUCGAUCCUAAGAAGGCAACAAUUCAAAGUUCUGAAGUAAUAAAAUUUUUGCCCAGAAACAAAGAUCAAUUAAAGACCAGAUUACACAGCAUAUAGUUGGAAUUGUUUUGAAGCAUCGAAGAGCACAGGUUGAGGCUCACCAUUUCGUAUAGAAGUAGGAGAUCAUUGAUACAUCAUUGACAGAACUAACUAGCAAUGCCACACAGUUGUAGCCUGAAAAAAAUAAAUAACUUUCAUUGUAGGAAGAAAAAAAAGAAUCAAGUUUGGCAUAAGAAAGCAAACUGAACUAUUUAUAGAGAUCUCAGCUCAUGAGGUGCAGGUCGUUGCUACUGUUCGUUGUAAAUGGUAAUUGAAAUGUUGAGAAUUCUUUUUUGUGCUGCACACAACGUGGUUCAAUGCAAUUGUUAGGGACUGUUUAGAUUGGCAAUGAAAAUUUUUUAAGUGUCACAUCGAAUGUGUCGGAAGGAUGUUGGGAGGAUUUUUUAAAAAUUAAUAAAAAAACAAAUUACAUAGCUCGUCAGGAAACUUCAAGACAAAUUUAUUAAGCAUAAUUAAUCUAUCAUUAGCAUAUGUGGAUUACUGUAGCACUUAAGCCUAAUCAUGAAGUAACUAGGCUUAAAAGAUUCGUCUCGCGAUUCUCAACUAAACUGUGUAAUUAGUUUAUUUUUUUAUCUACAUUUAAUGUUCCAUGUAUGUGUUCAAAGAUUCGAUGGGAUGGAUGAAAAAAUUUUGGGUGGGAAACUAAACAGGGCUAGUAAAUGUAGAUGGAAUAUAGUCAGGUCAGGUAGGUUCGUUGCUGCACACAACGUGGUUCAAUGCAAUUAAUUCGCUUGAGCUUAUAUUUACUAGUUAUUCAAUAAUAUUUUUUUCUUAUAAUAAAUAAAUAAAUAAUAUUUGUAGUUAUAGUUUUAUGAAUAAGUGAAUAAAAUUUGUUUACUGAUCUAAAAUUAUAGCUAAAAACUACUGUUGACUAGGGGAAAAAAAUACUGACUUACAAGCGAACGGCGAAAACACCGGAGGACGAGUGGACGACGUUUCCGAAAUCGAGGACAUCCUUCCUUACUUUUUUUUUUAGGCUGUAUGCAUGUUUAUCAGUUGGAGGCAACACGAAAGUUCCGGAAGCGCUGCUGGUGCGCUUCGGUGGAGGCAGGCCAGCAACAGUGGCCGGAAACUAACGCAAAAAAAAAUCAACGGUAAGGGAACAGAGGUGACGUGGCCGGCUGUGCCUAAGAUAUGGUAUACACGUGUUUAUCGGUCGGAGGCAACACGAAAGUUCCAGGAGCUGCUGGUGGGCUUCCGUGGAGGCAGGGUAGCAAUGGUGGCUGGAAACUGACGUAAAAAAUCAACGCUAACGGAACAGCGGUGACGUGGCCGGCUGUGCUUGAGAUAUAUACGUAUACAGGAAUAAAGAUAAAGGUAAAUUUCACGCAUCUAUAUAUGUAUAGAAUAGGAAAAGCUAAGAGUAUUUCGUAAAGCAUAGAGCAUGGAGUACUAUAGAGGAUAGAGCGUUAUUAAGUCAAAGCCCAAGCUCCAGUAGCGAAGGAAACCCUGUCAAUCCACCGUAACCCCUGCCCUUCCCUAUUCCACGUCGCAACUCGCGCAUCCCGUCCAAAGGCACAAACGCACGACGCACGGCGGCGGCGGGCGGCGCGCGGUUCCGCGGCUGCACUAUAUCUAGCUAGCUAGCUCAUCACGCCCAAAGAAAAAGACACAUCAAGAUCCAUCUUUGUAUAGCUACUGAUAGCUAGUUAGUUUCAGGCUUGCGGCUCGUGAAUACCUCAUCUUUUUUAGCCACUUUGCCACCAGCAGGCCAUCUCGAUCGAUCACGAGGAACCCACGGCCGGCGUCGCCAUUGUUGCUGUAACUUGCAAGCUUUCCCUUUCGCCUUUUUCCUUCCACCUCCCUCGCUCGUCCUCGUGUGCGAGCUAUAUAUAUAUAUAUAUAUAAAAGCGCGCCGAUGGAGCAGCAGCAGGUGAGGGGGAGGAGGAGGAGAAACGGCGUGCUGCAGGUGCAGGACGGCUCGGAGAUCCGUUCUCUCGUGGAGAACAAGGAGGCGUUCACUAGGUUCGUCGACGACCGAUUCCAGAAGCUCGACGCCGAUGGCGACGGGAGGCUGUCGGUGAGAGAGCUCCAGCCGGCCGUUGCUGACAUCGGUGCCGCCAUAGGGCUGCCGGCGAGAGGGUCGUCGCCGCAGGCGGACCACAUCUACGCGGAGGUCCUAAACGAGUUCACUCAGGGGAAGCAAGACUCGGUGAGCAAGCCGGAGUUCCAGCGGGUGCUGUCCGACAUACUCCUUGGGAUGGCGGCUGGGCUGAAGAGGGACCCGAUUGUGAUCCUGAGGAUAAACGGGGAGGACCUGAAUGAGUUCGUCGAGAGUCCGAGGUAUGAGCCUGAAGCCAUGGCCAUAUUUUCACAAGUGGGAGUGGGAGUGGGAGUGGGGUCUGACAACAACGCAACGCCAAAGCUGCGCCAGUGCUUGUUGGCCGCUCUUGGACAGCUCACGGUCGACCAUGGCAUGCCACCAGCUUCUGAUUCCUGGGUAAUUCUCCACGACUACACUGUACUCAAUAUUUUUUUUACCACGAAUUAGUAGUUAAUGAUAGAUGUUAUUAGUUACUACUCCAUGCUCUUUGGGUAGGGAAACGGAGAUGGCACAGUAGUAUUCUGGAGAGUAUGGACAUAGGAGUAUGCAGUAACUAGCGUAUAUAUGAUGAUGAUUGGGUGCUUUAUUGGAUAUAGGUCAUGGAGAAUGUUGUGGAGCCUGCGUUGCAAGAGCUGUCUGCUAAUCAGCUCGAUCAGCCUGUUUCCCAGGAAGUCUUCUUCCAAGAAUUCAGGAAAUUUCUGGGCAUCAUGGCUCUAAGACUGCAACAGCACCCUGUGAUCGUCGCCCAUACAGAGAACACCUUUGACGGGAGUGGUAUCAGGAGGCUACUGUCGAACAAGUUCGAAUUAGACAAGGUACGUAAUUAUAUGACAAGUACUACACUUUAGCGGUUUUGCCAGUUUCAUUUUCAUGAUGAUGAGUCGUCGCUCGGUUAUACACGACAUCUCUGACAAACAACAUACAUCACUGAAUUUAAUUGUUUUAUUUGUAGCUGCUGGAUUCUGUAUGGAGAGACGUUCCGAAAGAACACAAAGAUAAAACGUCGAAGGAGUACCUCCGGAUUGCGCUUGAUAGGAUUGCCGAUUCAGCGAGUCUGCCACCUUUUGGAGCCGUCGAUCAGGUACGUUGCAGAGCCGUUCAUGCUAUCUGCAAGUAGCACCGGCACACGGCACUCAAAAGUAUAUGAAGCGUUUGGACCUUCUAAAAUAAUCGAUAUAUACACGUGGAUUUCCAAAAAAACAAACAUACAACAGGUUGAUGCUGUGGUGAACGAAGCAUUCAAGAUGGCGAAAGCUGACGAAAUGAAGGCGGUGGACGAAGCAGAGUUCAAGAAGCUGCUGACGGAGAUUCUUGGGGCCAUCAUGCUGCAGUUGGACGGCAACCCGAUCGGUGUCUCAACCAACACCGUCGUCCAUGAGCCCAUGUCCACCUCCUCCGCGCUGUUGUCACCGACGCCGCUGUCUCCAAUGGUGUCCUCACCAAGUGAAUAAGGAGGAAAGUCGACAACUGACGAAAUGAUGGAGACGAAGAAUCUCCAUUGAGCACCGGCCCGUGUGAUGCUGAGUUUUCUUCUGUGGUCACAGGAUAAUAAUAAUAACAUGUUAGAUUGCUAGUAACUUGUGGAUUGUUCAUCUUGCAUGUAACUUGUGUCUGUUGAAAUAAGGCUUUCCCAAGCCAGACGACGUGCAUAUUACUAAUGGCUGAUGUUCGGUUCUUUCUUGUUAAAAAAAAAGAUGGGCGUGCAGCGGUCUGCUUCUUCCCUCUGCGAUUGGCAAUCUAUCUGCAGUUCUGCACUGACCCCCGCCGAGGCCAUGCUCGGUCUGACUAGCGGCACUGCAAGUAGACCACCCACUGCGUUCCAUCUCCCUUCUAUGUUCCUAUCCUCUGAGUUCACCACAAACUCGGUUCUAUUUCGUGGUUUGGGGCAAGAGGACACUUGAGCUCUAGAUUUCAUUUAUUUCUUAUUGAUUGUAGUAGUAGUAGUAGUAGCGAGAUGAGAUUCAAGUUCUGCAUUACGCAAAAUUGUAAUGUCUGCAUGCCAUGUGGUUGUCAAAAUGCCUGUAUGACAAGCUCAAUAGAUUUACCUAUCGAUCGGUUGGUCCAUGUCCUGUCCAAGUCAUUAUGUUGGUUUGAUUGUCUUCAGAAAUAUAUUAUUUUGAUUGUCUUUCAAGGAAACAUCUUAAACAAUUCCAUUUGUACAAUAUAUUAUUUUGAUUGUCUUUCAGGCCUCACUAAUAAACGGUGUACGUCCAAAACAUUUUCUUUUGAUCAGUAAUACCAAAUGACAUAUAAACUUGCAAUAUUCAAUGGCCAAAAAAUAAUUGCCAAGUCAACCUAUUAAUACUUAAUGAACUUCUACAGCUACAAAAACCCUCACUGGCUAGUAAUUUCUUCAGUUAACCCAUGCAUGCCUCAUAUUCAAAAUAUGAAAAUGCACAUAUUACUUGUACACAGAUGCAGGAGAAAGAAGCACUGUUAUUUGCUUUAGCAUUGACAGUAUACAAUGUUUUGUUUCUUGCUUAAUUGGAAUUUUAAGAUAUAACCGUGCGAGUAUACAAUGUUUUAAAUUGAACUUAAAAGGUGUUGAGGUUGUGGGAAGCAAAACAUUAUAUUAAAUGAUUAAAAACUAGAGGACCAAAUCUGUUCAAUAAACUAUUUGUUCUGACAAUGUAUUCUCUAAAGAUUCCGUUGGUAAAGAUGGUUGAAGUUUGGGUUAUAAACUAAGUAGCACCUUCAGGACAACAAGGUCCUGUUUCAUUCUGAGUUCAAUAUAGAAUUACUUCAUUGCUUACAUGCCCUAAUUAAAUUUAUAGUUUUAGUCAAUUUGUUUUGAGUUCACAAAUAAACUUCUUAAUUAUUUUUAAUUUAACCUGUGGUCAUCUAUUUUUACAUAAGUAGUGUAUCCAAUAAUUCUGUACAUUUGGCUCCAUAUCCAUAUCCUUAAGCUAUUCAAUGAAAUGGUGCUUCUGUUGGCAGUGAAACUGGGAGUUGAAUAUGUUGAGAUCCACUUCAUGAUUGGCUCUGCUCCUACUCAGAAAGAACGCGGCUAAAUAUAAGCACCGCGCCAGCAUAUUUGAAUAACGACUAAGAAAUCAUGGGCUGGUUUCCUCUUAACGAAAACGCAGCAAAGCCGCGCUUGGCUUUCUAGUUGAAGCUGAAAGCCGAGCUGACAGAGCCGAGAUACUGAACCAACCAACAAAGGCUAGGGACGACAUCUACUGGGCAUGAAGCACAAUAGCAGGCCAUUGUUUGAUCAGUAUCUUAUUUCGCAACUUGGUGAACAAUUAUGCAAUGUAAAAUAUCUAUUGGGCAAAUGAACAAUGUAAACAGGGGAAAAGAAAAAGAACUUGUUUACAUCACGUGCUAAAAGAACUUGUUUACAAAUUCUAUUUCGCAACUAGUUGGCAGACGAUCAAAAGCGUAGAAUUUUAGCACCACGUGCAUACUAACAAAAGGAGAAAAGAAAAACAAUCGAGGACUUCCACGUGCAUACUAACAAAAUGCAUGAUGCAAUCUUAUCUUUCUAUGUGGCCCUCGGUCAAUGAGUCAAAGACUUCGAGCUGACAUCUAUUCUUGUGAUCAUAAUGCACUAAUAUCACCACAACCAAUCAUCAAAGUGAACCCUUACUAAGGGCUUGUUUGGAUCCAUUAGCAGCUAAAAUUAGUACUAAUGAAUCCAAACAAGAUUCCAUGAAGUGGAGUCUUACAAGACAAGGAUCUUUCACAAUGUAUAAACACUUAAUUAAUUAAGUUGUGAUACCUUUAAAUAAGUUGUUAUGGAAGCUAAAAUUACCACUUAAAAUCAAGAUAUUUAUUUGGUUCUUGAUAAAAGGGGUAAUUUUGACCGAAGACAAUUUAAAAAAGAGAAAAUGGAAAGGAGACGAUAGAUGUUGUUUUUGUGACAAUAAGGAAACUAUAUAUCCAACACUUGCUCAUUGAUUGUCAUGUGGCUAGAUUUGUUUGAUUAUCCAACACUAUCCAACACCUCGCUAGCACAAGCAAUAAGGCUAUCAAACAAGCUGGAUGACUCAUAUCCUCACUUGGCAACGCAAAAACAGUACCCGGGCAAGGAACCAAGCGGCCCCUUUGUUGCAAGUAAAGAUGUGCAUGUAGCUUGUGGGCCCGAGGCACGGCCCAAAGCACGGUAAUUUGGCGUGGUCCGAGCACGGCCCGGCACGGUGGGAAACGGGCGUGUGCUGGCCCGUGGCACGUAGCAGGCCAUGCCUGGGCCGAUGCCUUGGCACGGCGGGCGGCCCGGCCCGGCCCGCUAACAACGACCGGCCCGGCAGCGGCCCGGGCCAGUAUAUAAGCCAAGGGGAGGGGGCGCCCUAAUCCCAUUCGGCACCGCUCCCCCUCCCGGCCUCCCCGCCCGCGCCGCUGCUACCCCCUGCCCCAAAUCCUAAUCUCCGCCUACGUCGUCGCUCCCCACCACGCACCAGCCGUCUUCCUCUACUUCGGCGAGGUCUCCACCACUGGAUCUACAAGAUCCUCGUUCGUCUUCCACUCUUCCCCGUCUCCGCCGCUCGUCUGCUCUAUUUCUUCGUCGCCGACCUUUGUCUCUAGCUAUCCGCCGCUCUUCUUCUCCAUUUCUCCGACGCCGGGCUCCGUCUCCGAGCAGGUAAGCACCUCAUCUCCGCUGCUCGUCUUCUUCUUAUCCUUCUCCAUCUAAACCCUAGAUCCAUCUAAUGAUCUAACCCUAUUCUUCUUCUCUGUUCGCAGGUCGUCGGCGUCAAGCUGGUGACGCCAGAGGCAUUGAGGAACGGUGCCGAGAGAUGAAGAAGGAGAGGCUGUGGUGGCCAUGGCGAACAACUAUGAUUACAUAACUGUUGUUGCACACUAUAUCACUAAUGAUUGGGAACUUAAAAAAUCUGUCAUUGGUUUUAAAUUGAUUGAAGUGACUCAUACUGGUAUUAACAUUGCUGAAGUUAUCUCUUCUGUGCUUAGAGAUUGGGGCCUGAUUGACAAAGUGUUUGUUGUUAGCCUUGAUAAUCCUUCUGCUAAUACAACUGCUAUGAGUGGUUUGACACCUAUGCUUGAUGGUUACUUGGGCUAUGAUGUUGAUCUUAGGGAUCCUGCUAAAAAAAUAUAUCAUGUUGUGCAUCAGCGCUGUGCUUGCCACAUAAAUAAUUUGAUUGUCAAAUCUAGCUUGAAAAGGCUUAAAACUUACAUAGAAGUUUUUAGAACUGCAAUUAAUUUUUCAAAUUCAUCUAAUCAUCGCGUUGCUCAAUUCAAGAACUACUGUCUUGCUAAGGAUAUCAUGCCUCGUAAAUUCUAUUUGGACAUGGAUGUUAGAUGGAACUCCACCUAUCUUAUGCUUAAACAUCUGAUGCUAUGUAGAUUUGUCUUUUCUGCUUUCAUCAACUCUCAAUCUGGAUAUGCACAACAACACUGGUACAUUGCUGAAAAGGUGUUGGAGUUUCUUGAAUUGUUCUAUGAUUCAACUGUUGCACUUUCUGGUGUGUACUACCCCACUAGUCCACUAGUACUGCAUCACAUUCUUGAGAUUGCUACCCACCUGGUAAAUUAUGAAAAUGAUAACCAGCUUGGUGAUGUUGUUGUGCCAAUGAAGACUAAAUUUCUUAAGUACUGGAAAAAAUACCCUUGUUAUAUUCUUUUGCAUUUUUUCUAGACCCAAGGGCUAAGAUGAGAGGUUUGCAAAAUAUGCUUGACUUGCUUUCUCAGUGUAACAAUAUCAGUUACAUUCUGAGGUUAAAUCUGAGUUGCAUGCACUAUAUGACAAGUAUGAAUCUAGAUUUGGUGCAGCUAAGCCAGCUAGGACUACACAUCCAUCUAGCCUGAUAGGUAAAAGGAAGUAGGCAUGAGGCAGGAUUUUUGGAGGAUCAGUUUCUUCUGGAACAUCAAAUGGUUCAUCAUUUUCAUCUAUUUCAUCUGCUGGCAUAUUUGAGCUCACUGCUUACCUUGACACCUAUAAUGAUGAGUUUGAUGUUCUCAACUGGUGGCAUGAGAAUCAACUAACUGUUCUAGUUCUCUGUCUAUUGGCUAAAGACAUUAUGAUUGUUCCUGUAUCAAGUACUUCUUCGGAGUCUAUUUUUAGUCUCUCUGGCAGGGUGAUUGAGGAGGGGCGACGGCGAUUGAGCGCCGACACUGUGGAGAUGCUGAUCUGCACCAAGGACUGGGAGCUUGGUGAGGAGCAUGGACAACACACUGUGGUGGACAAAGAGUUAGAAGACUAUAUGAAGAACCAGUUCCUUUAUGAAGAUGCCGUAGUAAUAGAGGCUUCAAGGACUUAAGAUGAAUUAGGCAGUGAGAUGAGAGACAUUGAAAACAUUUGAAUGUUGACCUGUAAUAACUUCGAUACUUGAAUCUUUGAUAAUUCAACAUUUUCAUGAGUUGGUCGUACUCUUUUCCUUUCUAGAAUUUUAUCUCACGAGGUGUGAGUUUUACCUAGAAAAGUUUUUAAUGAGGCAACACUGCAGACAGCUCAUGGAAAUCAUUUUGGUUACAUCUUGUUUAUUUGCUUUAUUUGUGUUUUAUGUGAUCAAAUCUGGUGUUUUUAAAUUUGAGAUUCAAUCUGCUUUGCCAAAUUAGAAUUGAUUCAUGUGUUUUUAGUGGUGUGGGCUGCGGGCUGGCCUGACAGCCUAUUGGGCCUCGUGCUGAAUGGGCUGGCACGACACGUAAAACGGCCCACGAACCGUGUCUGGACCGUUAGCUAGGCACGGUAUCCUGUGUCGGCCCAGUACAGCGGCACGCAGGCCCGUGCCUUACGGGCCGUGCCUAGCACGGACCUAUACCGUGUCGGGCCAUAUCGUCCCGUUGCACAUCUUUAGUUGCAACCCGUGCCGUAUCGGGCCAUGCCGGCCCGUUGCACAUCUUUAGUUGCAAGUUAUCUUCGUUCUCACCCAGCCUAUACAGAGCUGGGCAUUAAAAAAAUCGAACACGGAGCAUAAUUGACUCAAACUUUUAGUUUAAUAGUAUUGAGGCCUUGUUUAGUUCACCCAAAAACCAAAAAACUUUCCAAAUUCCUCAUCACAUCGAAUCUUGGGACACAUAUAUGAAACAUUAAAUAUAAACGAAAACAUAAACUAAUUGCACAGUUUGACUAUAAAUCUCGAAACGAAUCUUUUAAGCCUAGUUACUCCAUAAUUAAACAAUAUUUAUCAAAUAAAAACGAAACGAAUCUUUUAAGCCUAGUUACUCUAUAAUUAAACAAUAUUUGUCAAAUAAAAACGAAAAUUCAAAAUAAAAAAAUGGAUGAUUUUCGACAGGUUUGUACUCGGUGUCACGUUGGUUUGAAAGUAUCACCGAACGAAACAACCGAAGGUACAUGUUGACAGUAUCGGUUACACAAGCUCCUAGAACGCUCGGGUUACUCCCCUAAACCCUAAACCCCUCGGGUCACAAACAGAUCAAAGAACGCAUUAGAAACCAACAUGCUUUCAUGGUGAAGAGCAACAAUAUUUACAAGCAAACAAGCAACGGAUAGCUAUCACGCUUAAUAAGGAGAAUCAACUAAUUUUCAAUCAAUCUAACGAGAAACAACUAAUUUUCAAACAAUCCAGCAAAAGAACCACUGAAACUCAUUCAAGAGACCCCAUCGGGAGAACAUCGACGGGUUACUCUUAAAGAAAUGCCAAUCAACCAAACAGGGCCUAAUGUGAAUAUUGAAUAAUAUAACAACAGAAACUGGGCACUAAAGAAAUAACAGAAUUUACGAGCAACCUUAUGCCUGUCGUCCAGAAAACAUAACUUGUCAAAGUGUAAACACUGGUUACUAGUCACUAUCAUGAACUGUAAUGUCUCGAUUAUCACUCCAUGACUCUUGAUUUAGUGUACUGGACGUGUUUAGAACCAGAAUUAUGCGAGAUCAGGUACAAUGGGCCUCUGCCGCCGCCUCGAGACAACCCGGCCAACGUCUUCUGUCUCCCCUACCUCUCCCUGUCUCUCCCUUCUCUCUCUAUAGUAGUCUUUCCCCUUCAGCAAGUUGGGCUUCUCCUGUACUCCCUCCAGCCAUCUUGGGCCAUACAUGGCAGACAGCUUUGUUUCCAUCUUUGGCAUCCAACGACUUCGUCCUCCUUCCUUGCCUACUUCUGCAGCGUAGGUUUUUGGAACUUGCCCAACAGAGAACAGGAAAGGAUCACUAUUCAAAAAGUCAGACCCACUUGCCAAGUCCCAAGGUCCAGCACCUUUAUGGGUUGGAAAAUAGAGCUUUAGCAAAUAACUGGUUUCCCUUUUUGCGAAAAACAGGGGCUCCAGUUUCAAUCGAGCCUCAGAAGGUGAACUAAAGCAUCCAUAUGCAACCACAAUCACCAUCGUUUCCAGCUUUUGAGUCCUCUGGGCAAAAGACUUGAGGAAGGAGAUCUCACAUGCAUACCCUCUGAAAUCAUGGAAUACCAUCAACCUGAUCUGUGACUUGACGCAUUCAAUAGCACUGACCUUUUGCCAUAUUUUGAGGGUGCGCUUCCUGGCGGGUUUAAUGCUUUUCAAGGACUGCCACAAUUAAAUAAAGUUUAGGUAUAGAUGGCUUAUGCAAGCAACAACAUGUAGUGAGAAAUGAAGUAAUAUUGUUCUCGCCUGGAUGUGCAGACUCUCAACACUGGGAAAGCAUCUGAGGUAGCUAGGUAGCCUCUUGACAUCAUUGUGGACUGCAAGCCGCACCUGAAUUGCCAGGAUCUUGACAGUUGGGACCACGGCACUUGGGCUCACCAACAUCUCAGCCUGCAAUCAGUCCAAUACAAUUAAAGGAGAAUAAAAUGAUAAGUCCAAUACAAUUAAAGGAGAAUAAAAUGAUAAGUCCAAUACAAUUAAAGGAGAAUACAAAUGAUAAGACAAGGGACUCUAUCAUUUGCACAUUGCCUGAAAUUGCAUAGUUGGAAAUGGAAUAUGAAAGCACCUUGAUGAGAGUGUUACUGAUCUGCAGCCCGUGCUUUCCAGGCUCGAAGGUUCCAAAUAUGCAUAGCUCUGGGGCAUGCUCAAUCAUUACUCUGGAGUGUGUGUGUGCCCAAUUUCCAGGUAGGAUGAGCCGCUCGAGGCGUGGGGCGUCCACCACUGCAAUGUCCUCCACAUUGGACCCCUGAAUCUGCAGGCACCGGAGGCUGUGGCUGACCAGCUGGAGGCGAAGCGGAGCCAGGUUGCCGGUGCAGUUAAGGAUUUCGAGCUUUCGGCUCCUGGAGAGGAGGAAAUCGAGGUCCUUGUUGUUGAUGAAGACCUCCGAGAGUUCGAGCUCGCGGAGGGAUAGAAAGGCGACGCCAGGCGGCAGGCCGGCAGUGUCAGGGAACCUCCAGAGGGCAAGGUGGAGGCGGGUGAGGUUACCCAAGCCGAAGAUGUGGGAGGGGAGGGGCUUGCGCCAGUAGUUGUUGAUUAGCACGAGCUGCUCCACGCCCUUGAUGCCGAGAAGCAGGAGCCAGCGGUCGAGCUGGUCUCGGUACUUUAACAACGGGUACAUGGGGGAUAGAACCUAUACGGCUAGACUUGGACCAGGAGGCUUAGCCCAUUACGAGACGAGUUCAAGGCUUGAUCCGACAGCCUGGAGUUUCGCGCAAGGAAGCAAGAUGUGGAGAUCAAGCAGGAUUCUAGUCGGUUAGAAUAGGAAUUGAUAUCGAACUAUCUAUGACAAUUGUAACCGACUAGGAUUAGUUUCCAGAUCUGUAACCCUGCCCUUCAGACUAUAUAAGGAGAGGCAAAGGACCCUCCUAGGACAUCAUAUUCUCUCAACACAAAUCAAUACAACCAGACGCAGGACGUAGGUAUUACGCCAACUCGGCGGCCGAACCUGGAUAAAAAGCUUGUCCGUGUCUUGCGUCACCAUCGAGUUCGUAGUUUGCGCACCGUCUACCGAUAAACUACUACCGUGGGUAUACCCCAAGGUAGACUGCCGACCAGCUUUCGUCGACAGUGGCGCGCCAGGUAGGGGGUGUGCGUGCAACUUUUCCGGCGAACAAGAUGGUCACGAUCCCAGCUUCCGCGACCGUGCCUGAAGGCCUCACGUUCACCGUUGGCCAGAUCACGUGGACAACGUGCAGCGGCGGCCUCACGACCACGGUUUCGAAAGAGACCCAGAUCCAAUCUGAGAUCACGCCGUCUCCGACCACACACGUGGCGGCACCGAGCGCCCGACCACCGUUCCCGCUCUACAAGGGAAAGAAGAUCGACAGCUCGGACCUUCUCCAAGCGCUUGAUCGCGCUGACUCCAAGCUACUCGAAGUUUCCCAACUAGUAGACGGAGUUCUGCGUCGGCCCGACCAAGCUGCUCCAGCGGAUUUUUUCAAAUCCCGCCGGCCAACUCGUGUCGCCACACACGAACGGCUGGGAACGUCUCUGACGAUAACCUCAACCCCCUCAGGACGAUCCGUCGAGCUCAAGAAGGAAGAUUAUCCUUGCGGCCUGAACAACUCGGCCUCUGUUUACUCACAGCACACCCAAUCCGUUUUCAGCAAGGCGGGUUGGUCGCCGACAAGGAACGAUCGUCACUACGUCAACAUGGUGACAAUCCGAGAACUACGGGACGACCAGGUUUCCAGCACCAACUCAAGCACCGGUUCCGUCCCCACCGAGGUUAUAAACACCGAAGACGAGGACUACGACCUGGAUUUUCCUUCACACCCUCCGGGUUUCAACCGAUUCCCGAUAUUUCCCCCCCGGCGAGGGGAUAUUGUGUUCAAUGUCAGCGCCGACGAACCGGUCGUUGAUGGAGAAACAGAUGACCAGAGGCAACUCCGCGAACAGCGCAACGCCGAUCGCGCCCGACGACGCGCAGACGAGCAACAACAAAUGCCACCAAAUAAUCUCAACGAUGCCUUUGACAUGGUCGGGGACCAGCCAGUCUACAAAACGCCAAGCGCCAACGUGGCUGUCGCCAUGGCUAACCUAGAUCGGCUUCCUGAUACCCCCGAGUGCCAGGGAGUCCGGACCAGCAUCCGAGCACACCUGAUCGCUGCAAUGGGACAGACAACCACUCUGCUCAAGAGAGUCCAGGACGUCUCUUAUACGGAAGCCGCUCCGACCAGACUAAUCGAAGCCGGGCCUCACCGUCUCCCAGCAGGCGUCACCGCAGCCGCUCCCCCGACAACCGUCGAGGGGACUCACGGCGCGACAAUGGUGGUCGGGACGCCGACAGUCGCCGCAAGCAGAACCGCGUACGCGGCCAAGAAGUAAACCAGCACAGGGAUCUCCGCCACAACAUCCCUCCCAAAGAUGCCCGGGACCGCAUCAACAGGCGCGCCGCAGAGAGAGCAGUCCACGAAAACCUACGCCGCAUCGAGUACGAUGCAACGCACGGUCCUCCGGGCCUAAGACAGUUCUCCUCACACCUCCGCCAGGUCGUGUGGCCCCGCAAUUUCAAGCUCGAAAAACUUAAAAAAUACGACGGCAAGGAAAAUCCAGAGAACUGGAUCACCCUCUAUGAAAUCGCCGUCCGAUCAGCGGCAGGGGAUGAGCACGUCAUGGCUAACUACUUCCCCGUAGUCCUCGACCAGGCUGGUCAUCAGUGGCUGCUCGGCUUGCCCGAGGACUCCUUCGACUCUUGGGAAGAGCUACGCCAGGCUUUCAUCGACAACUUCAUCGCCACAUGCGAGCAGCCUGGAAACAAGUAUGACCUUGAAAGGAUAAGGGACAGGAAGAACGAACCUCUGCGCGAUUACAUCCGACGAUUCUCGGAUAUGCGCCUCAAAAUCCCGAAGAUUUCCCACGACGAGGCCAUCUCAGCCUUCAUCAAGGGCCUGCGUUUCCACGAAGCGCUGAGGAACAAGCUGUUGCGUAAGCGUCCAACAACGGUAGCAGAGCUCCUCGCCACGGCCAAAAAUUACGCCGAUGCCGAUGACGCAGAAAAACUAAUCCGAGACGAUGCGAGAGGACCCGACCAGCCUCCCCGGCGAGAUGACGGUCGUGGUCGCUACGACAGCAGAAACCACCGCCGCUCCGACAACCGCGAUCACCGAGAGGGUUGGGAUCGGCGGCGCGACAACCGCGACGAUUUCAGAGGAAAGCGCCCUCGCGACUACGACCACGAAGUAAACACGGUCAAGCGUCCCAACGGACGACGGGACUACCAAGAAGACUACAACAAAACGUUGAAGGGACCAUGCCAACUGCACCCAAAGUCUAAUCAUACCAUGGAAGAGUGCCGCGUCCUCAAAAGCAUCUAUACACGGCGGGCCGCCCAAGACGACUCCGCCAAGAAAAACAACAAGCGAGACGGGCACGACCACGAAGAUGAGGACGAGGACCAAGAUAGGGACCCCCGACACCAGUACGUCAGCCCCACCGACGUGGUCCACUCCAUUUUCGGGGGCAAGGUCUCCAUUGAAUCUAAGCGAGAAAGAAAGCUGUUAAAGAGAGCUUGCCUCAACAUAGACAGCACGGACGGGCUGAUCGCAGACCCAAAAUUCCCCCCGUGGUCCCACAGGGAGAUCUCGUUCAGCAGGAAGGACCAGUGGGCCGCUAUCCCAGAGCCGGGUCGUUUCCCCCUGAUUCUGGACCCUUGCAUCAACAGCAUCAGAUUCGAGCGCGUGCUCGUGGACGGGGGAAGCUCCAUUGACAUCCUCUUUCGCAACAGCCUGCCCGCCCUCAAGAUAUCUCCUGCACAACUAAAACCUUACGACGCCCAAUUCUGGGGGUUUUGCCGGGUCAAAGUUCAGUGUCUCUCGGACAGAUAACAUUGCCUGUCCAAUUCGGCACACCCGACCACUUCCGGACGGAGUUCAUCAACUUCGUGGUCGCCGAUUUCGACGGGACCUAUCACGCUAUACUGGGCCGACCAUCGCUGACAAAGUUCAUGGCAGUCCCGCACUACUCAUACCUGGUCCUUAAGAUGCCUACGGAGAAGGGCGUCCUAACCGUCAGAGGCAAUGUUUACACUGCGUAUACCUGCGAAGAGGAGAGCUUCAAGGUCACCGAAGCACUCGACCUCUCAAUCCGCAUGGCAGAAACAGCAACUCAAGCCGCGCAGCUGCUUCCCGACCAGCUCCGAUUACCUGAGCAGGAGACAGCCAGAAAGAACUCAAAAUCCAAGGAGCACAAAGAAGUACAACUGGUCGAUGGCAGCCCCGAGAAGACGGCCCUCAUCGGGGCCAACCUGGAUCCAAAAUAGGAAGACGCGCUCGUCAGGUUUCUAAGGGACAACGUAAGCGUUUUCGCAUGGAAACCCGCAGACAUGCCCGGCGUCCCACGAAACCUGAUCGAGCACUCCUUAAAUGUCUCGAAGACCGCAAGACCAAUCAAGCAAAAGCUGCGACGGUUCGCUCGUGACAAAAAGGAGGCUAUUAGGACAGAAAUCACACGGCUUCUAGCAGCCGGAUUCAUAAAAGAAGUGUAUCACCCCGAUUGGCUCGCCAAUCCGGUUCUUGUACGAAAAAAGAAUAAUGAAUGGAGAAUGUGCGUUGAUUACACUGAUCUCAAUAAACACUGUCCUAAAGAUCCUUUUGGUCUCCCUCGCAUCGACGAGGUGGUCGACUCAACGGCCGGAUGCGAACUCCUCUCCUUUCUAGACUGCUACUCUGGUUAUCACCAGAUUUCGCUAAAGGAAGAAGAUCAGAUCAAAACGUCUUUUAUUACACCUUUCGGCGCAUACUGCUACACGACCAUGUCUUUCGGACUCAAAAACGCCGGAGCCACUUAUCAAAGGGCCAUCCAGCAAUGCCUCCACGACGAGAUUCGUGAUGACCUCGUCGAGGCCUAUGUGGACGACGUGGUCGUAAAAACAAGGGACGCGAGCACCCUAAUCGACAACUUAGACCGAACUUUCAAGGCACUCAAUAGGUACAAGUGGAAGCUCAACCCCAAGAAAUGCAUUUUCGGCGUUCCUUCCGGUCUACUGCUCGGCAACGUUGUCAGUCGCGACGGCAUACGACCAAACCCUUCAAAAGUAAAGGCGGUACUCGACAUGCGACCAUCGAAGAACGUAAAGGAUAUCCAAAAGCUAACCGGAUGUAUGGCUGCCCUCAGUCGCUUCAUCUCAAGGCUAGGAGAAAAAGGCCUCCCUUUCUUCAAACUAUUAAAAGCGUCGGAAAAAUUUUCUUGGACAGAAGAAGCCGACACCGCAUUCAACCAGCUUAAGACCUUCCUCACUUCACCACCUGUCCUUACAGCGCCUCAGCCCAAUGAAGACCUACUCCUUUACAUUGCUGCAACCGACAGGGUUGUUUCCACGGCAAUAGUGGUCGAGCGAGGUGAACCAGGUCACGCCUACAAAGUCUAGAAACCAGUUUACUUCAUAAGUGAAGUCUUAAACGAGUCCAAGGCCAGGUAUCCACAAAUACAGAAGCUCAUAUACGCCAUUCUAAUAACGUCAAGAAAGCUGAAGCACUACUUCGACGGCCAUCGAGUCCUGGUGACAACCAGUUUCCCUCUCGGGGACAUCCUGCGCAAUAAAGACGCCAAUGGCAGAAUCGUGAAAUGGGCAAUGGAAUUAUGUCCAUUUUCCCUGGAGUUCCAGAGUCGCACCACUAUCAAGUCUCAGGCCCUGGUCGAUUUCAUUGCUGAAUGGACGGAUCUCAACGAGCCUUCCGUUCCCGAUAUCUCAGACCACUGGUCAAUGUUCUUUGACGGGUCCUUGAACAUCAACGGUGCCGGCGCUGGGAUACUGUUCGUAUCACCCAACAAGGACAAACUGCGUUACGUCCUUCGGAUCCUUUUUCCGGCGUCAAACAACGUCGCCGAAUACGAAGCAUGCUUGCAUGGCAUAAGACUAGCCGUUGAGCUGGGAGUCAAGCGCCUCUAUGUUUAUGGCGACUCCGCUUUGGUCAUCAACCAGCUCAACAAGGAGUGGGACGCAACCCACGAGAAGAUGGAUCUCUACUGCAAAGAAAUUCGCAAAUGGGAAACCAACUUCUACGGCAUAGAGUACAUCCACGUGGUCCGGGAUAAGAACCAAGCAGCAGAUGCGUUGUCGAAGUUAGGCUCAUCUCGGGCCCAGAUCCCGCGGGGUAUUUUCGUCCAGGACAUCCACGAGCCGAGCGUAGGCUCCUCCCUGGUCGACAAGCAGCCCACCGAGGCAAUGCUCAUAGACGACGCCACUCCGACAACCGGUGGGCGUGACUGGCGUACCCCGUUCAUCAAAUACAUAUCGGACGGGACAGUCCUUCAGGACAAAACAGAGAACGAGCGCCUCAUUCGACGAUCAAAGAACUACAUCCUGGUCGACGGCAAACUCAUGCGGAAAAACGCAAGCUCCGAAGUACUGCUCAAGUGCAUACCCCAAGAUGAUGGUAUCAAGCUCUUAGAGGACAUACAUGCUGGAUCCUGCGGCAAUCACGCCGCAUCCAGAACGCUGGUCGGAAAGGCUUUCCGAGCAGGUUUUUAUUGGCCAACCGCGGUCGACGACGCAGAAAAACUGGUCCGACAUUGCGAAGGAUGUCAGUUUUUCGCUAAGAGGACCCACGUACCUGCCCACGAAAUUCAAACCAUCCCGUCGUCUUGGCCCUUCGCUUGCUGGGGGCUCGACAUGAUCGGGCCAUUUAAACCAGCCCCGGGCAAUUUCAAGUUCGUUUUCGUGUUAAUCGACAAGUUCUCCAAGUGGAUUGAAUACAUGCCUCUGGUCAAGGCAACCUCCGAGAAGGCUGUGGAGUUCCUCAAUCAAAUCAUACACAGAUUCGGCAUCCCGAACAGCAUAAUCACCGACCUAGGCACUCAGUUUACUGGCACCACUUUUUGGGACUUCUGCGAUGACAGAGGCAUAGUCAUAAAAUACGUGUCAGUGGCACAUCCACGUGCCAACGGUCAAGUUGAACGUGCUAACGGAAUGAUCGUUGACGCCCUAAAGAAAAGGUUGUACACCGAAAACGACAGAGCACUCGGUCGAUGGAUGAAAGAAUUGCCGGCAGUGGUCUGGGGCCUCCGAACUCAGACCAGUCGAAACACAGGGGUGUCUCCCUACUUCAUGGUGUACGGUUCAGAGGCGGUCCUGCCGUCUGACAUACACUUCGGAUCUCCUAGAAUCGAACACUUUGACCAGGUGACCGCCGACAACGCCAGAGAACUCGAAAUCAAUUGCAUGGAGGAAAUGCGUUUAGAUUCUUGUCUCCGAACAGCAAAAUAUCUCGCGGCAGUCAGGCGAUACUACAACAGGAACGUCAAGGACCGUUCCUUCGUGGUCGGCGAUCUGGUACUUCGAUGGAAAACAAGCCAGGAGGGAAUGCACAAGCUAUCCACUCCCUGGGAAGGACCCUUCGUGGUGACCGAGGUCACACGACCUACGUCCUACAGAUUGGCAUACCCAGACGGAACACGAGUGCCUAACUCUUGGCACAUAGACAAACUGCGACGUUUCUAUCCAUAAAGUUUUCAUAACUUUCCUUUGUAAGUAUCUUAUAAUUGUUGAUAAUGAAAUUCUCUAUUUUUUUCCUAUACUUUGUCGCACACAGCACUCGGCAAAACUCCUGCAAUGGAUGCUCUUAACGACUACCAAGACGAAUACGGUGACACGUCACUCAGAUAAUCUUACAGCGCUCAAAACAACAGUCAUGACAAAAAGCAAACUUUAUUACAAACUUUACAUACAAAGUUUACAAUAAAUACCCUGACGGGCAGACACUAGUCUAUUCCUACAGACUACUCUAUUGGCCUAGCUGCUCGGGCUGAUCACCCGCCUGGCCCUGCUGCCCGGACGAAGGGGUCGGGGCCACCGGCGCUUGGCUGGUCGAGACCGCAGGCGUCGACCGCCCAUCUCCCGCAACGGACGCGCCCGACAACUCCCUGGCCGACCUAUCUGGACUCGGCUGGUCUGGGAGAGUGGCCGUUCCGCACAGAUUGAUGUCGCCGAUCACUGUCGACGACAAGUCCAGCAGACUACCCCGAAGCUCGUCCGCUUCCUGUGGGCCGACCUCCUUCGGGUACCCCUUCUCCAGCCUGCCCAAGUCGACCAAGGGGUAGUGGGCGCGCACCAUGCUGAGGACGUGCGCGCCGGCAAACUCCCCGGCGUCCUUCACGAACUGCUGGAGCCAGUCCCACGCCCGUUGCGCCUUCUCGACCGGGGUCAACUGUGGCGCGCGGGGCUGGCUCUCUGGGAGCUCGGGACUGAUCAGGUCUAGGACCGGGGACACUCCUUUCCAGAUCCUGCAACAGUUGACCUUCCAGGAGUCCCGAUCCUUGAUCAGAUCAUCCAGGUGCUUCUUGGCGUUCACCUUGAGCACUGCAAACGAAACAAAGCGUUAUUUUCAGCAUACCAAACAAGUAAAGGGGCGACAAGCAGCAGCUAACAAGGCGGCACCCAUUACCAGAUAAUUCCCGGUCCUUUCGACCCAAUUCCUCUCCUGCUCGUCGCCCGGACUCCAGCGCACCGGCGAGCUGUUGGCUGAGCUGCUCCUUCUCUUGUCGGAGGCGCGCCACCUCCUCCUCCAAGUCUGCGUGAAUCAUAAACUGGUCAGUAAAGCAAACUACACAAGUACGCAAAGCUGCUCGGAGCGUGUGACUAACCUUCUCGCUGCCGGUACUGGUCGGCCAAGCGACGAGUGAGGUCGAGACGACGCUCCUCUUGGGCGCUCAUCUCGGCCACCUUCUCCCCGACUUCCGACCGCAGCCGGUCUACCUCCGCGGCCAGGGCCUUGUUCUCGGCCACGACGCCUUCUAUCUGGUCAAAGCACCGUUUCCGGUACUUUGCCGUUUUCAUUGCGCCCUACAAAGCGAACAUAUAACGACCAUGCAAGACAAGGCAUAGAAUGUACAGCAGUACAAAAAGUCGCUUACCUUGACUUCGUCGACGAGGCGCUUGGCUGCGCGCUCCACCCUGGCGGCCUCCUCGGUCUCGGCGAGCUCUUCAUGCCCGAUAAAGUGAUCCCCGCGUUGGCGCCACACAUACACGUGUUGGCGGCCAUCACGGGGACGACCCUCAAUCUCUUCCACCUCGUCCUCGGAGGCCGCCUGAGCUUCCUCCUCCCGCGCUGCGUUGCUUCCGGUAGCGGUCCCAGGCAUUACUGGUCCCUGGACCAGACCUGGGGAGCCUGCAGUCGGAGCGGCCCCUGCUCGGGGCGGUGUAGAGACUUCACCCUCCCCGGCGGGAGGAGGGGUCGGGGCCCUUCCCUCCCUUUCCGUGGUGCUGGCUGGGGGAGGAGUCCCCGUAGCCUCCUCAACCCUGGUCGGGCUGCUCAACGUAGCCGGUGCCGCGGCCGGGGACUCCUCGGCGCUCUCAGGCACGGCUGCAGCCGUAGGCUGCUCUGCGGUCUGCGGGGCCGCGUCUUCAGCAGCGCAAACCGGCUCACUCGUCCCCUGGCCAGCGGCAUGGCCAGGGUUGACAUCCGACACCGCGCUAAAGGAACAAAACUACAAUAAAAAAAAACAUCGGUGAAAUACGUAAGUCGAGCACUUACAGGUUUGAGCGGCGGUGGGUCGCGGUAAACCUCCUUCUCGUCCGACCAGUCGGCACCUGUGCUCUCGACUCCCCAGCGCCAGGCGCAGGUGGAUCGACGGCCACACGGUCGGCAGUGGUCGCCCUGCCGUCCGGACGGCUAGGAGGCCUCCGGACCAACGACGGAACGGCCUCCUCCUCCUCCUCGUCGUCGUCGAUCCGGACGAACCGACGCCGCUUCGGCGCUCGGCUGCUCUCCGCCGGCAGUGUCGGCAUCGGCAACGGAUCCACAGGCAUUGGCCUUUUCCCCGACACCCUUUCCUCGGUGGUUGGGACGGGGCGGGCUUGUUCCUCCUCACUGCUGGUGUAAUGAGCACACCGAGCAGCGUCCUCCUCUAGCGGGUCUUCUCCCGCAGGAUUCUCCAUCCCCGGUGCCAGUGAUACAUACACUGUGCACCGGUCGACAUCGCCGAUCUGCAAAAAGCAACAAAGAUGAGCCAGCCACAUACGAUAUACGAAUACUAAAACAAAAUAAUCUGCAACAUACCUUUGGUGCUGGUCAGCCUAACUUGAAGGCUUGCACCCGAUCACUGCCACGGAUGAAGCCUCCGUCCGCGAAGUUGAACAGCUCGUUCAACAGCCGUUGUACCUCCGCCUUCUCCAAGAUCUCCGGUCGCAUCCUGGUCGGGUCCACGCUUCCGGCAUACUCGUACGCCGAGUGCACCCUCUUCUGGCAGGGCAUCACCCGACGACAAAUAAAGUUGCCGACCACGCCAAGCCCAUCCAGGCGCGACCAGUCGAUCGGCUUCAUCAGAUCCGCCACUUGACCGUUGAACUCCGGGCGGUCGGUCCAGCUCACCCUCUUCUCGGGAAUGUACCCCACGUCGUAGAACGUGGAGCUGCCCGGUUCCUCCCUGACGUAGAACCACUUCCUAUACCAUUCGGUCAAGGAAGUGUUCCAUGGACAGUGCAGGUAGUGAUUCUUCAUUCCAUCACGAAGGUUGAGGUAUACUCCACCUGCAACCUUGGAGCCUCCAACUGCUCCCUUCUUCCUCAAGCAGAAAAGGUAACGGAAAAGAUCGAAGUGCGGCUCUAUGCCAACAUAGGCCUCGCACAGAUGAAUAAACGUAGAGAUAAGGAGAAUUGAGUUCGGGUGCAGAUUGCAAAUCCCGAUCUCAUAAUACAAAAGAAGACCUUGGAGAAAAGGAUGAACCGGAACCCCAAAUCCCCUCUUGACGAAAUCUUCGAACACGACGAUCUCACCGGCACGAGGGUCGGGGAAGCUUUCUCCUUCCGGCGCUCUCCAGCCGCCAAGCUCCGAGCUGUGCAGGAGUCCCAUGUCGACGAGGUCACCGAGGGAUUUGGUGGUGCUGCGGGACUUCUUCCACUCCUUGGCCAUCAGUUCGGCCCUCUUCUUGGAGUCGCUCUUCGCCAUUGGAGGUGAGAAGUGGAUUUGGGUUACGAAGAUGCAGGUGAUUGAAAGAGGCGAGAAUGGAAGGCUUGAGGGCAAUGGCAGGGUAAGGAGUACAGGCGGAACUGUCAGGCUCUUAUAACCCACAACUCCACCCCUCCCAUUUCCUGUAUUCUCGGGAAGUGGGCGGGCCAUGCGGCGGAUGCGGCGUUUCGGUUCACAAUGAUUAUAGACAAUUAAUGCGGCGGAGUUUUCGUACCAAUUGAUGGUUUCCUUUUUCUCAAACCACGCAAAGGGCGGCUGCACAGUUGCAAGGCGCAAUUUUUCAUGCGCCCAUCUGACAACCCAUCAGGAGGUCUCGUCAUGUCAACUUUAACUGAAAAGAUCGUUUCAAUAAAAAGAAGACAAAUAUGCCAGAGAGUCAACAAUCUGGGGACUGCACCGACCACCGAGCACUUGAUGCUCGGGGACUGGUCGACCAGUCCAUCAGCUCAGAACUUCAAAGACUGCACCGACCACCGAGCAGUUGAUGCUCGGGGACUGGUCGCCCAGUUCAUCAGCUCAGAACUUCAAAGACUGCACCGACCACCGAGCAGUUGAUGCUCGGGGACUGGUCGCCCAGUUCAUCAGCUCGGAACUUCAAAGACUACACUGACCACCGAGCACUCGAUGCUCGGGGACUGGUCGUACAGUAUAGCAACGCAGAAUACUAAGCAGCGCACUUGGCGCCUGGGUACUGGUCGUCAUACUAUUAUUUACGUUCCCAACCGCGCUUGGGGACUUGUCCAAUGGAACCUACACCAUGCUCGGGGACUGUACCGACCACCGAGCACUAUACGCUCGGGGACUGGUCGACCAGCCCACCAAUUUGAGCAUUCGGGGACUGUACCGACCACCGAGUGUUAUAUGCUCGGGGACUGGUCGAUUAGUCUAUUCAAUUGCAGACGGACUGGUAAAUUCAACUUUUUAGACCUUGCUACAAGGCUCAUACUUCGCCUUCCAGCAAGCUCGGGGACUACAUCGGUACGAUGCAUCUGGCGAUGCAUCUCAGUUUCAGAAUUUCUUUAAGGGCUUUUCUUUUGACCCUGGCACCACGUGCCUACGUCACCUACUACCAGGCUCGGGGACUAAGUGGGCACACUUCACCUUGCGGUGAAUAUGCUUGCUUUUUGAAAGACUAUACUUUUCAGAAAAGUAAAGUGGGCACACUUCACCAAGAAAGAAAUCUUUUUUAAUUUAGAGCACCAUGCAUUCUUCAAACAACCUGCUUCUUCGAUGUCAAUGUUGAUCAACUAUUUUUUGAGUUGGUCAAAAUACUGUUGCAACUGUUUGGACGACUUUCCUGCUUAUUGAAGACGUCAAGCCUCACUGAUCGAAGAAGCUCAAGACGGCGUGUUACAUCACAAUACAUGGUGCUCGGGGACUAGCUGUGGGGGGAUAGACCCCUAUACCCUUACGGCUAGACUUGGGCCAGGAGGCUUGGCCCAUUACGAGACGAGUUCAAGGCUUGAUCCGACAGCCUGGAGUUUCGCGCAAGGAAGCAAGAUGUGGAGAUCAAGCAGGAUUCUAGUCGGUUAGAAUAGGAAUUGAUAUCGAACUAUCUAUGACAAUUGUAACCGACUAGGAUUAGUUUCCAGAUCUGUAACCCUGCCCUUCAGACUAUAUAAGGAGAGGCAAGGGACCCCCCUAGGACAUCAUAUUCUCUCAACACAAAUCAAUACAACCAGACGCAGGACGUAGGUAUUACGCCAACUCGGCGGCCGAACCUGGAUAAAAAGCUUGUCCGUGUCUUGCGUCACCAUCGAGUUCGUAGUUUGCGCACCGUCUACCGAUAAACUACUACCGUGGGUAUACCCCAAGGUAGACUGUCGACCAGCUUUCGUCGACACCAAGGUCCCGAGGUAGACGCAGCUGAACGGCCCGGGGUGAUCGGCAAGGAUGCGGGAGACCGAGUCGUAGAGGGCGAGCAAGCGACGGUGAUGGGAUCCCCCGGAGUCCAAUUCAGCUGGAAAGAGACAUAGGUCGACGAGGACGAGCGGGGCGGAGCGCCAGAUCGGGCGCCAACGGCGGGAGAGGACGGCGGUGCGUGCGGCCUCCUUGAGUUCGAGGCGCGAGACGAUGUUGCGGAGGACCGCGUCGGGGAGGCCGCUGAUUCGGUCCGCGCCGCCGGCCUCUGAGACGAGGGCGGAGAGAUGGGCGUCGAGAGACACGAGCGGCGGGCAGGGGAUGUAGAGGAAGCUGAAGCGCGCGCGGCACGUCAUCCCUUCCAGGCCGUGUGGAUUCAAUCCCCGGCGCCCGUGUGGAUACAACAGCCCCCCGGGGUGACCGGCGAAGAUGCGGGAGACCGAGUCGGUGAGGGCGAGCAAGUCGACGAGGACGAGCGGGGAGGGGGGGCGCCAGAUCGGGCGCCAGCGGCGGGAGAGGACGGUGGUGCGUGCGGCAUCCUUGAGCUCGAGACGCGAGACGAUGUUGCGGAGGACCGCGUCGGGGAGGCCGCUGAUUCGGUCCGCGAAACCGGCCUCGGAGAAGCUGAAUGCCGCGCAGCACGUGACACAUUCCGGGCGCCCGUGUGGGUUCGCCUCCUGAUUGAGGUUGGCCAUGGCCGCCGCCGCCGCCGGCGGGGGUUGGCUAGGGUUUGAAGUGUUAGAUCGGACCGCGACUGCGCGAGGGGAGUAACUGGAUUUAAAAGUUUCGUGUCGCGAUUUAUAAGUAAACUAUAUAAUUAGUUUUUGUUUUUAUCUAUAUUUAAUACUUUAUGCAUAUGUCAAAAGUUUCUGACGGAAAAUUUUGAAAAAAUUUAGUUUUUAGAUGAAACUAAACAUAGUUACAUCAAGUUAUUUCGCAACUUGUUCACCAAGGCCUUGUUUAGUUCCCAGAAAAUUUUGUAAAAUUUUUCACAUUUUUCGUCACAUCAAAUCUUUAAACAUAUGCAUAGAGUAUUAAAUAUAGACAAAAAUAAAAACUAAUUGCACAGUUUGGUCGGAAUUGACAAGACAAAUCUUUUAAACCUAAUUAGUCCAUGAUUGAACAAUAUUUGUCAAAUGCAAACGAAAGUGCUAGAGUGUCGAUUUCCCAAAAAAUUUCGAAACUAAACAAGGCCCAAGGCAUAAUUUGGUGAACAAUUAUGCAACAAAAUAUCGAUUGGGCAAAUGAACAAUGUAAACAGGGGAAAAGAAAAAGAACUUGUUUACAGCACGUGCUAAAAGAACUUGUUUACAAAUUCUAUUUCGCAACUAGUUGGCAGACGAUCAAAAGCGUAGAAUUUUAGCACCACGUGCAUACUAACAAAAGGAGAAAAGAAAAACAAUCGAGCACUUCCACGUGCAUAAUAAGGUUUUGUUUAGUUGGCAAAAAAUUUUGAAUUUUAGAUACUGUAGCAUUUUCUUUUAUUUGUGGUAAAUAUUAUCCAAUCAUAGACUAAUUAGGAUCAAAAGAUUCAUCUCACGAUUUACAAGCAAACUAUGUAAUUAGUUUUUGUUUUUGUCUAAAUUUAAUACUCUAUGUAUGUGCCGCAAGAUUCGAUAUGACGAGAAAUCUUGAAAUUUUUUGAAAACUAAACAAGGCCUAACAAAAUGCAUGAUGCACUCUAAUCUUUCUAUGUGGCCCUCAGUCAAUGAGUCAAAGACUUCGAGCUGACAUCUAUUCUUGCGAUCAUAAUGCACUAAUGUCACCACAACCAAUCAUCAGAGUGAACUCUUACUAAAGGCUUGUUUGGAUCCAUUAGCAGCUAAAAUUAGUACUAAUGAAUCCAAACAAAAUUUCAAUAAGUGGAGUCUUACAAGACAAGAAUCUUUCACAGUACAAUUAAUAUAUAAACACUUAAUUAAUUAAGUUGCGAUGCCUUUAAAUAAGUUCUUAUAAAAGCUAAAAUUACCACUUAAAAUCAAGAUAUUUUAUUUGGUUCUUGAUAAAAGGGGAAAUUUUGAUCAAAGACAAUUUAAAAAGGAAAAAGAUGGAAAUGAGACGAUAGAUGUUUUUGUGACAAUAAGGAAACUAUCCAACACUUGUUCUUCUAUUGUCAUGUGGCUAAAUUAUUUUAGAGAAUCUGCCAAGUGGCUUUUAAUCUCGAACCACCAAAAGAUGUAAUCGACUUAUUUAGGUUGAGUGAUGCACAAACAGACGAACACUUGCGCUCUCUGAUUUGUAUGGGGUCAAGUGCAAUCUUGUGAUCUAUUUGGCUAUUUAGAAAUGAAGGGAUUUUUGAUAAAAACGACUAUACUCUUAUUUGAAGGUUGUUUUUAGGGCAACAUAUUGGACCUGUUUUUUGAUCGCGCUGCAAAAGAAGACUGACAAACCUUUUAUGAAGUGGGCAUGUCGCAUGAUGGAGAUUGUGGCUAUGGAAUUUUUUGCCAAGCAUGGAUGGUCAUAGCUGAAAAGGCUUAGCACUUCACGUUCAAUCAUUUUUACCUUUGCUUUUUGAGAGGUUGGUUUUGUAGUAAGAAUUGGUUGUGUGCAAAACUCUUGCAGAGACCGGAAUAAAAAAAUUUCUUUUUCUAAAAAACAUACCUAUUUGUUAGCAUGCAUGCGCUACUGCGCCGACAAGAUCCACGGCGCGGCAGGCCCGCCACGUCAGUCGUCGUGAGGGCGAACCCUGCCAUGUCACUAGCGCUGCCACGCCGCCAUGCAUGGUGACAGUGUUUUUUGACCGCAACAUGGUGCGGCUAAAAAAGUUAGUUUUAAAAAUACAAAAAUAUAAUGUCAGAUUUAAAAAUUAUUUUGUAAAAGUGUUAGAAAUUAAAAAAUUCCAUUAGAGCAGCUAAAAUUAGUACUAAUGAAUCCAAACAAACCUACUAAUAACUUUCUAAUUAUUAGCUAAAAGGUUACUAAUUGUUAGUUUCAUUAACAAGUUUGCACAGUUUGUAUGUACCUUCAACUAAAAAUAAAAGCUCCUACUAAAAAUCAAGUAGUUACAAAGUAGCAGCUAUUAGCUACUUAAUUUUUAGUGAAAAUGGAUCCAAACAUGCUCUAAACAUAUGGAUUGGUCCACACAUCACAGUGGCUGCGUCGAUGUCGUGGCCUUUGCCAAGAACCCCCAUUGAUCAGUAGAUCAACUAAUCUGAAUGUCCACCGGUCUAAUAAAAGCAAAUUUGCAUAUUGGUCCUCAUGUAACCGUGCAUAUCUAAGGUAAAAUUCACAUGGCAUGCCACAUAACAAAAUACACUGCAUGGCAUACAUAUGACCAUACACGCACACACAUUUAACAAGUUUAUGCAUUAUUUUGCAAGUUGUUGGACUAAAGUGAUACUCCCUCCCAUUUCCUAAAGAAUAUCAUUUUAAUGUUGUCUUAAGUCAAACAUUUUGACUACAAAUAAAUUUUUCAGGUUGAAUUUUAAAAUAUGAAAGUAAUGUAAAUAGAUUCAUCUCGAAAUGUAGUUUUAUAAAAUUAUAUAUUAACUAUAUUUUAUAAUAAAAAGUAAUGAAUAAAAUUAUUUUAAGAGACCGUUUCACUGUCCAAAACAACAUUCUUUAAGAAACCAGAGGAAGUACUUCCGUACUUACUAUGGGUGCAAAAAUUUCAUUUUCUAGUAAUUCUAAGACAACUUUAUAAACCGUGAGGAAGAGUGUCCUCAUUAAACAGGUGGGUCACCUUUUGGUUGACUAAAUUGCUCAUUAGCUAUUGUGAUAAUCCUUGUUGUUAAUGUUUUUUAAGUUAUUAAUGGUUGUUUAAGUUAUACUACACAAUUACAACAAAAAUCGACUAAUUAUUUGCAAAUUGGGCAUGUAUAGUUUCUAGAAACAUUUAUAUUGAAGUUAAGUGUACGUUGAAGUAGUUUAAAAUAAGCUUUCAAUUAAACUAUAAUAUACGUUAUUUCGAUUAUCUAAAGUUUUUUUUUCUAGCUGUUAGCAACUUAAUUAUGCAUCCAAUGGCGCCAUAGUCAACUCAGCACGCGAGCUGUACCAAACGGCACACGGCCGCACGCGCCGGAGGUCAUGUUCCAGACGGCCAGACCACACCUCCUACCUACUCGAUCGAAAAGAACCCCACCUGGCCACCUUCCCCGAGCCCGCGACUGACGGCUCAGCUUCCGCGCGGCACGGUCAAACGGACACCGCAGGCGGCAGGCCGGCCGAAGAGCACAAGCGAGCAAGUCCAAACCGGAAGAGGCGAUCGCUAGCCGCGAGUGCGGGGCGGCCAUCAUCAUGGCGGCGAGCGCGAGGGGGAGCGUGUGGGAGAUCCAGCCGCGCGACGUGGAGGCGGCGGGGCUCGCCGCAGCCGACGCGGCCGCGUUCGUCGCCGCGCUCCGCUCCGCCGCGGCCGCCGCGGGCUCGGGAGCCACGCGGGACGCCGUGUGGGCGGCGGUUGCGGCGGCGGGGGUGCUGCGGCCGGAGCACCCGCACGCGCUCCACCAGCUCGUCUACUACUCCACCUACGCUGGGUGGGACCGCGACGCCCGGGGCCCGCCGCCGUACUGGUUCCCGUCUCCGUAAGUCGAUCGCCGGUCGCGCUCCUAGUGAUUUCAGGACGUAGCGGUAGCUUAGCUUGCACCAAUAUGUUUGCCAAGUUUGCUCAGCUUUGACUAUUGUGUGAUGUGACUAUGACAUAUUGACAUGCAUUGCAAAUCUCAAGCAGUAGUGCAGUACCACUACCAAGCAGCAGAGAAGCAGCUAGCUAGGCUGUCGAUGCUUUUGCUGUAUCUAAUAUCGAGUAUGCUGUAUGUAAUUAGUGGCAUAAGUGUUUCCAUUCUCGCAGAAUUGACUGUAAGCAAACAAACCUGGGGAGAUUGAUGGAAGCAAAUGGACCAAAGCUGUUAGGAUCAUCAUACAAGGACCCUAUAUCAAGUCUUAGCCACUUUUACAGGUUUUCCGUAGAGAACCAAGAGGUCAGUUACUCUAAAUCACUCAACUAUGUACAAGUAAAACGCCCAAAAAAAAAACACUUCGGAAUUUUUUUUUGUCUUUUUUUUCACAAUUUCUCAUCAUAAAAUGUGAUCCUACUCUGCUAUGUGAUUCCUUUUUAGGUCUACUGGUCAAUGGUGCUAAAGCAACUAGCAGUCAAUUUUAAACAAGAACCAAGGUCAAUUCUGAGUACAUCAGAUAGAUCAAAGAAAGGGGGGACAUGGCUUCAAGGUGCAGUGCUCAAUAUAGCUGAAUGUUGUCUGCUGCCUUGUCCUUCCCUGAAGAGGACAGAUGACAGUACAGCUAUCAUUUGGAGGGAUGAAGGCCUUGAUGAUUAUCCAGUGAACCGUAUGUCACUGAAGGAGCUUCGCGGUCAAGUGAUGUGUGUUUGUCAUUUCCAUACAAAGAAUUGAAGUAUACCCUUUUUUUAUGCAAAUUAUUUUUUCAUCUUGCCUUUCUAUGUUGCUAUGUCUUUUUUUCAGAACUGUUGCACAUGCCUUAGAUGCCAUGUUUGAGAAGGGGGACCGGAUUGCAAUAGACAUGCCUAUGACAUGCAAUGCAGUCAUAAUAUAUUUGGCGAUCAUCCUUGGUGGCUUUGUUGUUGUAUCUAUAGCGGAUAGUUUUGCACCUCAGGAGAUUGGUAGUCGUAUGGGUGUCUCAAAAGCAAAAGCAAUUUUUACCCAGGUGAGAGAUUAAGAAAGAUUUUCAUGGUAUAUCUGUUUAGUAUACUAUAUGUGGGCUCAUUCUGAAUUACACAAACUUCAGGAUUUCAUUGUUAGAGGAGGGAAGAAAGUUCCACUUUACAGGUAUGACUGAUCAGUUAGUUUGAAUUCAUGCUCUGGUAAAUUAAUCUGUUCAUUUUUUUAAAAUAAUGAGAAUUUGUUAUUUCUUGUACAAUUUUGUACCUAACCUGUAAUUUUUACAGUUUGCGUUUAAACAAGAUCUAGUCCUGUGAAACCAUCUACUUACAUUAGUUGGACAGCUUUAUAUAUACCUUAUGCUUAACUGAACUGAAACACUUAAAGUACAUACUAAUCAUCACCACACAUCUGAGCAGUUCAUAAUAAUUCUAUUCUUCAGUCGUGUCGUACAAGGGACUUCGUCUAAAGCUGUUGUGAUUCCUGCAAUUGGAGACUCUAUUGGAAUUACGCUAAGGAAUGGUGAUAUGUCAUGGAAAGAUUUUCUUUCUCGUGCUGCUGGAAGGUAGGUGCUCAGUUUUGUCUCUUUGUCACACAUGAAUAGAUGGAAAUUUGAGCUUUGGUGAUUCUGAAAUUCUUCUUUCAUAAAAUUGAUCGCACCUUCAUUGCAAAAGAAAGGCAAUUUCUUCAUAUACAUAUAUCUAUUGGAUUUGCAGGUCAUCUUCUUAUUCUCCAGUUUAUCAAUCUGUGGAUGCACUAACUAAUAUACUAUUUUCUUCAGGAACAACUGGUAUGUCCUAGACUUUCCCUUUUCUGUUUGCCCUAUAUUUGAAGUUCACAUUUGAUAUUUUCUAUUCCAUUUUUUUCUUGUGAAGGGGAGCCAAAAGCAAUACCGUGGACACAACUUUCUCCCAUAAGAUGUGCAUCUGAUACCUGGGCGCAUUUGGAUGUUCGUCCAUGUGAAAUAGGUUGCUGGCCAACUAAUCUGGGCUGGGUUAUGGGACCAAUAAUCAUAUACUCAUGCUUUCUAAAUGGGGCGGCUUUGGCUUUAUAUCAUGGAUCUCCACUUGGACGCGAUUUCUGCAAGUUUGUACAGGUGUGUUUGGCAUAAUGUGUACCAUCAUCUGCUUUUCAGCUGCUAAAAGCAUCCACUCUUGCCACUUGCAUAUAUUGUAGCUCUGUAAGUUUGGAGUUUCAGUACGUUAUGUUCCAUUAGUCACCUUGCACGUAGUAUGGACACAUCUUACUUCACAUUUGUUUGUUGAUAGCUCUAGCAUACCUCUGCUGAAUAACCACCCAACCUCAAACCUUGACACACUAUUAUAAUCUUUAAAGAAAACACUUGACAUGCUUGAAACUUAUUUUUUUUCUUCAAUGUUAUAUGCUGAAGUUCUUGUAUGCUGACCAAUGCAUUCCUCCAAAAAAAUUUUGCAGGAUGCUGGUGUGACUGUAUUAGGAAGUGUGCCUAGCUUGGUGAAGUCAUGGAAAGCUGGGAACUGUGCUGAAGGGCUUGACUGGACCAAAAUCAGGUGAGUGGCACUAUAAGAACUAGGUGAAUUCCCCGCGCGUUGCUGCGGGAUUUUCUUAAAAAUAAAUCAUUAUACACAUAGCAUUACUAUAUGAUAUUCAGUCUAUUAUGUAUGUAUACAUAUGAAUUUGACUUACAUGUAUUUUAUUGUAUUAGAUCUAGUAAAAAAAUGCUAAGCUAAUAGAACAAAAACUAAUAUGUGGUUACAUUAUAGAGGAAUUAAUUGAUGAUGAAACAAAUAGUGUAUGUACAUGACUUGUAUAUUAAUAGAUUAAAGAUUUAAAGUAUUUCACAUGAUAUAGAUGAUAUGGUUAUUUUUUGUAAUUAAUAUGGGAUGACAUGGACUAAAUGGGGAAUGAUGUGGACACUUUGCAUGAAGAGAUAGAAUAUUUAGUGGGUCACUUAGUGUGGAAUGAUGUGGACACCUUGCAUGAAGAGAGAAUUCAUCUAGUGGGGUUUAGCUUUAUAAGAGUUAUAGAUGUAUCCAUCUUCAUCAAUACAUGGUAGAAGCACAGCUACAGUAUUAUUCUUGCAGAGUACUAGGCACAACAGGGGAGGCUUCUGAUAUUGAUGACAAUCUGUGGCUAACUUCGCGUGCCUCAUACAAGCCCAUUGUUGAGUGCUGUGGGGGCACAGAGUUGGCAUCCUCAUACAUUCAAGGGAGUCUUUUGCGACCACAGGUCUUUGGAGCUUUUAGUGGUGCAUCAAUGUCCACUGGGUUUGUCAUACUUGAUGAACAGGGAACUCCGUAUGUAAGUAUUGUCCCUUAAAAUUUCCAUUUUGUUUAUUGCAUUCAAGGCAUAACCAGCUAAGUUUGCUAUGAUAGCCUGAUGAUGUACCUUGCACUGGAGAAGUGGGUCUCUUCCCUUUGUAUUUUGGUGCUAGUGAUCGACUUCUCAAUGCUAAUCAUGACAAGGUUUACUUUGAUGGAAUGCCCAUUUAUAAAGGAAGGGUAUGGACUUGCAUAUCUUCUCGUUUGUAUAUUUGUGUGGAUAUGUCACUGCUUGGCUAUCUAGUAAAUGCUAUAGUCUGUCAUGGAUUUUCUUUCAUGGAACAUAUACAAUAUCUGCAUUGUUCAUUGUGUAUAAUUCUUUGCUGGACUAAAUUGGAGUACUGAAUUCUGUUACAAGGUAUAGGUUAUAAAACAAAGUGGUGAAUAAUCUUUGCUUUCCAAAUGUGUUAUAGCAACUCAGACGACAUGGAGAUAUAAUCCAGAGGACAGUAGGUGGGUACUAUAUUGUACAGGGAAGGGCGGAUGACACCAUGAACCUUGGAGGAAUUAAGGUUGAAUGCCCCUCUUUUCAAAGUGUUUAAUCUUUCACCAUCAUCCUUGUGUUAAGGAAACCAUAACUUUAUCAGUUAUCACCUGCAUAUGCAGACCAGUUCAGUUGAGAUAGAGCGGGUAUGCAACAGAGCUGACGAGUGUCUGCUAGAAACAGCAGCAGUUAGCAUCAAGCCUUCUGGCGGGGGACCAGAACAUCUAGCUAUCUUAGCAGUGCUAAAAGAUAGAUCGGCCCAGUAUGACGUGAAUCUUCUCAAGAGGAAGUUUCAGACAGCCAUUCAGAAGAACCUUAACCCUCUCUUCAAGGUAUAAGACCUUCCCCGUUCUGCCAUUGAGGUCGAAUGAUCUGAUAAACAUGUGUACACUAAAAUCACUGUAAUCGUCAAUUGAUCUUACAGGUGAGCUAUGUCAAAGUCGUUCCUGAGUUCCCAAGAACAGCUUCGAACAAGCUGCUGAGAAGGGUUCUGAGGGAUCAACUAGCGCAGGAACUCUCAAAUCGGAGCAAGCUAUGACCUUUGGGAUUGUUCGGCCUUCUUUCAAAUAAAGGAGGCAUCGUUUACCGCGUGUCCAUUGUUGAUGUGUUGUGUUGUAUUAUACUAUUGUCAAUGCAUGUCAAGAUGAUACUACAAAAUUUUCCCCUCUUUUGUAAAACUUCAAGCCUUAUACGUUUGUUGCCCUUUUGAAAAGGGAACCAUAUUCCAGAGAACGUUUGUAAAGGGCAAUACAUUUUAUCUGAUCAUUUGAAAGACUAAAAUUCAAAGAACCCAGAUGUUGCACUGGGGUUGUGUGUGUGUCAAAUGAUAGUGUUGACGAAUAAACCGGGUGCGUGCAUGAUUGUGUUACAUGCUAUGUACCAAUCGGUGGCAAUUGCAUCAAAUCAUUUAUUGCAACUUUUUUCAUGUGAGGCAAGUAAAAGUGAGUGGUUCGUUGUAUCUUACUGUUUGAACAUCUAUCACUAGCUAGCCUCGUUUGUGACUUGUGAGAUGCUAAGAAUUUGUCUGAAUGGAAUUAUUGUGUUUGAAUGAAGGUACGCGAGCAAUUUCUUCUCUAGUCCUCUAGUCCUGUAACGUACUCCAACGUACCCAAAAAAAAUGACAUUUGCAUCAUAAAUUCAUAACGCCCAAUCUUUCAUGCAAUAAAGUAUUAGUAGCACGUAUUCUACCAAAAAAAAUGCGCAUUGCAUCCACGUACGUCGUCAUAAAUCCAUAACAUCCAAUCCUAACGUAUACAUGAUUUCCUGCAAAUUUCAGUUCUCUAUAUAGGAGACAAAGAACGGAAAAGAGUCAAGUAAUAAAAAAAGAAUAUGUCAUUAAUAAUUUGUGUAAGUGUCUGCAUGCCCAAUUAUUCUCGUGACUCAAGUCAAGCAAACUUUAACACGCAAAUUGGCCAAGCAAGUCACGCCGUCACGUUUGGAAAAACAAGUCUGUGCUCUCAAAUAAUAACAAUUUCGCCGGAGAUUGAUCUGAAGAAGGCCGUGAGCUCACAUAGCACACAGGACAGCAGGCCUAUCCUGACUUUUAUGCACGCCAUGCCUGGAACAAUUUGUACUAGCAGGCGGCCAAAUUGACUGGUGCGAAGCUCAGUUGACAGGAAGAGCAGGACGAGCCAGAAAUUCUUCCGCACGGCAUGGCGGAGACGAAGGAGUCAAGAUUAUUCAAGAUGAUGCACACUGUUUUUUUUUUCAUGUUUUUUUCUUGUAUACAUAUUUAUGUACAUAACAGACAAGAAAACCACGCUUACAUACUGAAAACGGAUGAAUCUAUGGACUAUGAUGAUGUGUACCGACCGAAUUGUCUGGUUUGGCAAAUUGUUCUGCUAGUAUUUAGCAGUAACAAAGUCGAGAGUUCAAAGUAUGACGAGUCCAUUUGGCUGAAUCGAUCCAUAGAAUCUGUUCAACGUACGCAAUCCAAUUCCAAUGUGCUUACUGAGUGCUGACACUCCGAUUGACAGCUAAUAAAGCUAUCUUAUUGCAUCAUGCACCCACACUACAACUGCAAGCAAUAUGGUGAGGAAACAAAGAACAUAGAAUGUCCCGAGGCACUCGCACAACUCUCUCAUGGAUACGGAGUAUAUAGCGGUACGUUCGUAUCAUACCUGCAUCCGUCCGUCCUCGUUUUCUUUACUGCAUACAGAGAGGAACAGUAGUCAACUUGUGCUGGGAAGUUUCUUGGAUGGCACUUGGGCACUUGGCAUGCUGACCUGCCUUGUUUGGUCCUUCAAACGUCACUACACUAAGGCUUUGUUCGGUUAUCUAGAAAUACUUCCCAAUCACGCAGUUCCUUUAAUAAUUUACAUAGCAUGGGAACGAUUUCUGGCCAUUCGACGCGGGGAACGGGCUAACCGAAUUGUUAGUUUAUUUGUAUAUAAGAUUUCAUACUGGUGUCAAACUGCCCCAAAUGAACGAGUCCUAAAGAUGAAAAAGGGAGAAGGACUUACCUCUCAAUCAAGCAUCUAAAUUGUACAAAGAUGUGAUUGAAUUAUGUCUGUUUUACGUAACUGGGACCAUAGAUGACAAAGUUAAAUCCAACCUAUUUAGGUGAAUUAGAUAAAAAAACAAAGCUCUUACAUUUUUUUAUGGAUAAAUUUCGAAACCCAGAAUACCUUACAUUUGUAGAUGGGUAUACAUUUUUUUCCUGAAAAAACAUACCUCUUUCUUUUUUUUUCUCAAAAAAAAAAAGAAAAAAGACAAUAUUAUAGGUUAUAUAGAUGCAAGUUUUAAAGUGCAAAAAAAUCACAUGGAACAGUUUAAUUCUUGCCAAUUUCUUG
rnacentral:lncRNA from 1 species